GGGGUGAUGGUUCAAUCUGGGUAGAACACUGCCCUCGCACGGCAGAGAUCGGGGUUCGAAUCCCCGUCAUUCCA
rnacentral:tRNA from 1 species